rnacentral:misc_RNA from 1 species
AAGAGACGUUGCCCUUCGGGGUAUACCUCCCACCCUUUGUUUAUUAUACCUUUGCUUGCUUUGGCGGGCCCGUCCUCGGACCACCGGCUUCUGCUGGUCAGUGCCCGCCAGAGGACCUAAAACUCUGUUUGUUAAUAUUGUCUGAGUACUAUAUAAUAGUUUA